rnacentral:misc_RNA from 1 species
GAAUAUUGCACAAUGGGCGCAAGCCUGAUGCAGCCAUGCCGCGUGUAUGAAGAAGGCCUUCGGGUUGUAAAGUACUUUCAGCGGGGAGGAAGGCGGUGAGGUUAAUAACCUCAUCGAUUGACGUUACCCGCAGAAGAAGCACCGACUAACUCCGUGCCAGCAGCCGCGGUAAUACGGAGGGUGCAAGCGUUAAUCGGAAUUACUGGGCGUAAAGCGCACGCAGGCGGUCUGUCAAGUCGGAUGUGAAAUCCCCGGGCUCAACCUGGGAACUGCAUUCGAAACUGGCAGGCUAGAGUCUUGUAGAGGGGGGUAGAAUUCCAGGUGUAGCGGUGAAAUGCGUAGAGAUCUGGAGGAAUACCGGUGGCGAAGGCGGCCCCCUGGACAAAGACUGACGCUCAGGUGCGAAAGCGUGGGGAGCAAACAGGA